GAUGAAGAACGUAGCGAAAUGCGAUAAGUAGUGUGAAUUGCAGAAUUCAGUGAAUCAUCGAAUCUUUGAACGCACAUUGCGCCCUUUGGUAUUCCAAAGGGCAUGCCUGUUCGAGCGUCAUUUGUACCCUCAAGCUUUGCUUGGUGUUGGGCGUCUUGUCUCUAGCUUUGCAGGAGACUUGCCUUAAAGUAAUUGGCAGCCGGCCUACUGGUUUCGGAGCGCAGCACAAGUCGCACUCUCUAUCAGCAAAGGUCUAGCAUCCAUUAAGCCUUUUUUUCAACUUUUGACCUCGGAUCAGGUAGGGAUACCCGCUGAACUUAAGCAUAUCAAUAAGCGGAGGA
rnacentral:misc_RNA from 1 species